AUUGAACGCUGGCGGCAGGCCUAACACAUGCAAGUCGAACGGUAACAGGAAACAGCUUGCUGUUUCGCUGACGAGUGGCGGACGGGUGAGUAAUGUCUGGGAAACUGCCUGAUGGAGGGGGAUAACUACUGGAAACGGUAGCUAAUACCGCAUAACGUCGCAAGACCAAAGAGGGGGACCCUCGGGCCUCUUGCCAUCGGAUGUGCCCAGAUGGGAUUAGCUUGUUGGUGGGGUAACGGCUCACCGAGGCGACGAUCCCUAGCUGGUCUGAGAGGAUGACCAGCCACACUGGAACUGAGACACGGUCCAGACUCCUACGGGAGGCAGCAGUGGGGAAUAUUGCACAAUGGGCGCAAGCCUGAUGCAGCCAUGCCGCGUGUAUGAAGAAGGCCUUCGGGUUGUAAAGUACUUUCAGCGGGGAGGAAGGGAGUAAAGUUAAUACCUUUGCUCAUUGACGUUACCCGCAGAAGAAGCACCGGCUAACUCCGUG
rnacentral:rRNA from 1 species